GUCAGUUAUAUCACUCGCAGGGUGCCCAGAGAGAAGGAUCGCUGCGCUAGAUGGGGGAAAUUGAAAAAAAUUCAUAGGGCAUUCCCACAAUCGCAGCACCAAAGACCCAAACAGCCUUAUUUUAGCUCGGCUGUAAAAAGCUGGAUAGAAUAGGGACCCUUAAUGACUGCAAUAGAAAGGCGUAUCAGCACUUAUUAAGAGAAUUUUGGACACUUUAUUCACCCAUGUGCAACAUUUAGCCCAACUCACUGGAGCUUGAAGAGAAGAACAGAAGAGACAGAUUAAGAACUAAAGUGGUGAAAACUGCAGUCCUGAAAGUCAAAAUCACAUUGACCAAUCAGCUAUGAACAAGAAAAAAUUCCACCUCUUUUCAACAGGUGUAACAGCGUGUCUGGCCGGAGCGCUCUCUUGCCAUGCCCCUGCUGCUGGCGCGUGCCCUAGGAGGUGGGGGCACGCGUGCCGGAGCUAUUUUAUUUAAAGGACCAGUACUCAUUUAAUUAAGUGUAUUCACCUGUGCUCUUUUUAUAAGUACUUGCCCCUCCCUUGUAUCCCUGCCGAAUCUUUGUUGCCUUGUGCCCUAGUGAAAGCAUACUGUGUUUCCUGUUAUCCUGAUUAUCCGUGUACCUGAUCCUUGUUCCGUGACCUGACCCUGCUACUGUGCCGCCUGCCCUGACCUACAGCUAUCCUGACCAUGUCUUGUCUUAUCCUUCUGUACCACGCUUCAUCCCAGUUACCUGUGGGGACGAGUCGUGCCAGGGGUAGCGACCUGGGUGCCGCCUUCCGCAGCAAGACCAUCCCGCUUUGCAGCGGGCUCUGGUGAAAACCAGCAGCACCUUAGACUCCGCUCCCUGGCACAGCUCACGUCAUCAUCCACACAGGUUAAGAGGAUCCACCACCUGCUGUGACCCUAACAACAGGCCUACAAGUACAAGGCCAACACAGUUGUGCCACACAGUUAAUAAACUCUGUAAUCCACACUACCUAAAAUCUACUAAUCCAUCAUAACAAUAACAUCAACGAAUUUGUCUAUUGGGCAUAGAAAAGGUUAUAUAGGAGGCUGUUACUAAUACUACCCAACUAUACUUAUGAUGGAAGCCCAUAGUCCAUGGCCCAUCUCAAACUAUAGACUCCUGCUUAGCUGAACCACAAAUAUGAGCAAUUGCCAGCUGGUU